GGAGAUGCCUCUGUGCCCUCUGCCCUCCCAGGACACUCUCACACCUACCGCUUUGGCUAGGACUAUAAGAUGGGCAGCUGUUGAGGCCCACUAGGGGUGCUGUGGGGCAGACGGUCUUUGUUUAUUACCAUGGAUGGCUGACCUUUGCCGGCGUACCACGGGGAAUCCGGGAGAAGCUCUGCAUUGGCAGAUAGUAUCUCAACAUAUCAUUUUGAGAUAAGAACCAUUUCUGUUUGAUUUCAUGACCCUAAUUUAUUUUGGACUGUCUUUUUUUCACACAAAGAAUUAAAGUGUUUGUAACUUUACAAAGACUGGCGUGUUUAUGACAAAAAGCAAAGAACAAAGGUGUGAACUUUCCAGGUCAUUCACCACUAGGCAAAGUCUCAAAUAUGAAGCCUGUCACACCAAGUACCCUCUAUACUUAUAUUCUUUCUGUUCCUUUUGGACGAUGUAUUUGAACAGUAAAAAAAAAGGAACAAGAAUGUGGUGAUCUGGAUACUUUUUAGAAGCAUGGCUUUCUGUGUUUAAGCUGUUGUAGCUCUUUGUGGUCACUGUGAUUUCAGAAUACAGGAGGACAGUCAGGCCAGUGAAUCCAACUCUUCUGCAUGGACUUCUGUGCACAGGAUGCAAGACACCUACCUCUUGCUUCUGAGAGCCUUCCCUGCCUAUUUUCUGACCCAACGACGCAAUCUCUUCAGAGUCAGGAGAAGGAGUGAGGCUGAUCUUGAACUCCUAGUUUUGAGAGAUCCUGCUCUAUCUGGCCCCCCAACGUUCUAGGAUUACAGGUGUGUGAGCCACUGUGCACAGCCGCCCAGGUGUUUUUGGUGGAGGUGGCUCAAGUCCCCACCAGAGACACACUGGUUUAGAGCCUGCUCAGGGGGGAACAAAGACGUUGAAGCUGCAGCAGAUAAGCGCGGGGCGUUCCCUUCUCUUAUAUUCUGUUCUGAAGAAAGUGUGGGUGUGGAGUGGGAAGACGGGUAAGGAGGUCAGGGGGUGCUGAAAGGGUCUCAGCAGAGAACUGUGCACAAGGACCUAAGACCAGUGAUUCCCAAGCAGGAACAACUUUGCUUCUCUGCUUCUCCAGGGGACAUUUGGUAAUUUUUCUUUUUUUUUUCUUUUAAGAGACAAGGUCUUACUCUGUUCCCCAGGAUGGAGUGCAGUGGCACAAUCAUAGCUCACUGCAACCCCAAACACCUGGGCUCAAGCCAUCCCCCCACCUAAGCCUCCUGAGUAGCUAGAACUACGGGUGUGCCCCAUUGCCAUGCCCAGGUAUUUUUUUUUUUUUUUUUUUGUAGAGACAGAGUCUUGCUAUAUUGCUCCGGCUGGUCUGAAACUCCUGUGCUCGAGCAAUCCUCCCACUUUGGUCUCCCAAUGUGCUGAGAGUACAGAUGUGGGCCACCAUACCUGGCUGACAUUUGUGAGAAGGCGGCAGUCUGCAGCCCAGAAGCAGGACCUCCCCAGAACCCAACCAUGUUGAACCUGGAUCCUGGACUUCUCAGCCUCCAGGACUGUGAGAAAUAA